GGAUUAGAUACCCUGGUAGUCCACGCCGUAAACGAUGUCGACUUGGAGGUUGUGCCCUUGAGGCGUGGCUUCCGGAGCUAACGCGUUAAGUCGACCGCCUGGGGAGUACGGCCGCAAGGUUAAAACUCAAAUGAAUUGACGGGGGCCCGCACAAGCGGUGGAGCAUGUGGUUUAAUUCGAUGCAACGCGAAGAACCUUACCUACUCUUGACAUCCAGAGAACUUAGCAGAGAUGCUUUGGUGCCUUCGGGAACUCUGAGACAGGUGCUGCAUGGCUGUCGUCAGCUCGUGCCG
rnacentral:rRNA from 1 species